rnacentral:rRNA from 1 species
GACGGGGGGGGCAAGUGUUCUUCGGAAUGACUGGGCGUAAAGGGCACGUAGGCGGUGAAUCGGGUUGAAAGUGAAAGUCGCCAAAAAAGUGGCGGAAUGCUCUCGAAACCAAUUCACUUUGAGUGAGACAGAGGAGAGUGGAAUUUCGUGUGUAGGGGUGAAAUCCGUAAAUAUACGAAGGAACGCCAAAAGCGAAGGCAGCUCUCUGGGUCCCUA